GCCUUUGUAGAUCGUGGCGAUCAUCCAUCUUUACGGUGGUUUAAAAUGAGGGAGACGGAGGUUCGAUUCCUCCCGAGGGCA